rnacentral:lncRNA from 1 species
ACUGUAAUCUUUGUCAGAUAACUCUCGGAUUUUAUUUCUCACUCUACGGGUGUCAGAAAAAUAUGAAGCUUCAAAUCUAGCCUCAUAAAAAUAUUUUUGACUUAUCCUCCAAUUUUCAUAAUUUUCUGAAACUGUGCAUUUUCUGCUAAUUUAUCUGUCCCGUUUUCAACAGAAAAUUCUAAAUCUUCUGUUUCCAAUCCGAUUUCAGCACAAGUCAUUUCUAACUUAUGUUUUACUCCUAUAAAUUCAAUAAAAAUAGUUUCUCACACUAUUUUUAUUUAUUUUUAUUUUUAUACCAAAAUCUGGCAUUGUAUAACCAAUGUCUCCAAA